GAUCCCUACGGGGGGCACAGUGAGGAAUAUUGGUCAAUGGGCGAGAGCCUGAACCAGCCAAGUCGCGUGAGGGAAGACGGUCCUAUGGAUUGUAAACCUCUUUUGCCGGGGAGCAAAAAGCGGUACGUGUACCGCAUCGAGAGUACCCGGAGAAAAAGCAUCGGCUAACUCCGUGCCAGCAGCCGCGGUAAUACGGAGGAUGCGAGCGUUAUCCGGAUUUAUUGGGUUUAAAGGGUGCGCAGGCGGUCUGUUAAGUCAGCGGUCAAAGCCCGGGGCUCAACCCCGGCCCGCCGUUGAAACUGGCA
rnacentral:rRNA from 1 species